rnacentral:rRNA from 1 species
AGAGUUUGAUCCUGGCUCAGGAUGAACGCUAGCGGGAGGCCUAACACAUGCAAGCCGAGCGGUAUUGUUCUUCGGAAAUGAGAGAGCGGCGUACGGGUGCGGAACACGUGUGCAACCUGCCUUUAUCUGGGGGAUAGCCUUUACGAAAGGAAGAUUAAUACUCCAUAAUAUAUUGAUUGGCAUCAAUUAAUAUUGAAAGCUCCGGCGGAUAGAGAUGGGCACGCGCAAGAUUAGCUAGUUGGUGAGGUAACGGCUCACCAAGGCGAUGAUCUUUAGGGGGCCUGAGAGGGUGAUCCCCCACACUGGUACUGAGACACGGACCAGACUCCUACGGGAGGCAGCAGUGAGGAAUAUUGGUCAAUGGGUGCAAGCCUGAACCAGCCAUCCCGCGUGAAGGACGACUGCCCUAUGGGUUGUAAACUUCUUUUGUAUAGGGAUAAACCUACCCUCGUGAGGGUAGCUGAAGGUACUAUACGAAUAAGCACCGGCUAACUCCGUG